ACGUUUCGGGCCUCGACGGCGGGAGCGCCGGCCUCCGCGGCCGGAUCGGGGACGGUCGUCUCGGGGCUCACUGGAUCUCACCCCGGUAGAGCGAGC
rnacentral:tRNA from 1 species